rnacentral:rRNA from 1 species
GACGAACGCUGGCGGCGUGCUUAACACAUGCAAGUCGAACGGAAAGGCCCUGCUUUUGUGGGGUGCUCGAGUGGCGAACGGGUGAGUAACACGUGAGUAACCUGCCCUUGACUUUGGGAUAACUUCAGGAAACUGGGGCUAAUACCGGAUAGGAGCUCCUGCUGCAUGGUGGGGGUUGGAAAGUUUCGGCGGUUGGGGAUGGACUCGCGGCUUAUCAGCUUGUUGGUGGGGUAGUGGCUUACCAAGGCUUUGCCGGGUAGCCGGGCUGAGAGGGGGACCGGCCAAAUUGGGACUGGGAUGCGGCCCAGACUACUACGGGAGGCAGCAGUGGGGAAUAUUGCACAAUGGGCGGAAGCCUGAUGCAGCCACGCCGCGUGCGGGAUGACGGCCUUCGGGUUGUAAACCGCAUUCGCCUGUGACGAAGCGUGAGUGACGGUAAUGGGUAAAGAAGCACCGGCUAACUACGUG